AUUGUUGGCUACAUUCUGAAAAGAUGCUUGAAAACAAGAAAUGCAGGAUUUACACAAGCUCCAGUCUGGAUCCAGAUCACCUGAGAAGAGACAAUGCUGACCUUCAGAGGACCCCAGAUGAUGCUAACCCAGAGACAACAUACAGAACUACCACUUUUUGUGCCAUCAACAUAAAAGUCCCGCCUCGAACACAUCAGCCAAG